rnacentral:rRNA from 1 species
UACGAGGGGGGCGAGCGUUGUUCGGAAUUAUUGGGCGUAAAGGGUGCGUAGGCGGUUUGGUAAGUCUUGUGUGAAAUCUACAGGCUCAACUUGUAGUCUGCACGAGAAACUGCCGGGCUUGAGUGUGGGAGAGGUGAGUGGAAUUCCUGGUGUAGCGGUGAAAUGCGUAGAUAUCAGGAGGAACACCUGUGGCGAAAGCGGCUCACUGGACCACAACUGACGCUGAUGCGCGAAAGCUAGGGGAGCAAACAGG